GGAACGACUGCUAUACCGCAUACGACAUUUUCUGGCAUCAGAGGAUUGUUAAAAGGUCCGUUUGGAUCACUAAUGGAUGAGGGUGCGGCGUAUUAGCUAGUUGGUGGGGUAAUGGCCUACCAAGGCAAUGAUACGUAGCCGAACUGAGAGGUUGAUCGGCCACAUCGGGACUGAGACACGGCCCGAACUCCUACGGGAGGCAGCAGUAGGGAAUUUUUCACAAUGGGCGAAAGCCUGAUGGAGCAAUGCCGCGUGACUGAAGACGGUCUUCGGAUUGUAAAGGUCUGUUGUAAGGGAAGAACAGUAAGUAUAGGAAAUGAUACUUAUUUGACGGUACCUUACCAGAAAGCCACGGCUAACUAUGUGCCAGCAGCCGCGGUAAUACAUAGGUGGCAAGCGUUAUCCGGAUUUAUUGGGCGUAAAGCGUGCGCAGACGGUUUAGCAAGUUUGGGGUUAAAACCUGGAGCUCAACUCCAGGUCGCCUUGAAAACUGUUAGGCUAGAGUGUAGGAGAGGUUGAUGGAAUUCCAUGUGUAGCGGUGAAAUGCGUAGAUAUAUGGAGGAACACCAGUGGCGAAGGCGAUCAACCGGCCUAUUACUGACGUUUAGGCACGAAAGCGUGGGGAGCAAAUAGGAUUAGAUACCCUAGUAGUCCACGCCGUAAACGAUGAGUACUAAGUGUCGGACUAAGUUCGGUGCU
rnacentral:rRNA from 1 species